rnacentral:lncRNA from 1 species
GUUUGCAUUCUUUUUUCCAAGAUUUGAAAAGAAGGAGAAAUCAUACCCAGCCUUUGACAUGAGUUUAAAGGCGUUUGGGUCGAAACCUUCUUUGGUCCUCUUGGUCAGAAGAGAGCCUGGUUCUACCCCCUUUGGUAAUGGUUUUACGAAACCUUGCAGUGGUUUUGAAACUUUAGCGUCACCUAGCUGUGUCAAAGUUAAAACCACAUUUGUCUUGAACAGGUUUACAUCGUCCUUAUGCAGCUGUGUGUCAGCUUUACUUGUUCCAGUUUCAAACGGGGAUUGCCCAUUCUUUCUUCUCGACAUUGGG